ensembl:lncRNA
CCUACUAGGCUUCUCCAUCCAUGGGAUUUUCUAAGCAAGAAUACAGGAGUGUGUUGCCAUUUUCUUCUCCAGGGAAUCUUCCUGACCCAGCUCCAGACUGUCUGCUGAUGGAUGGUACUCAUGCAUGGAAGAUCCAGUGGUGCUGAGCCUCUGAGCCACAAUCAUGGCUGGACAUGUAGGAGAUGGGUCAAGAGUGCUCAGAAGCGUUAGAAGGAGUCCUUAGGGAGAAGCAUUUGUGGCUGAGAGAGACGACCCUCACUUGUCAAAGACCUGCUUCUGCUAACCAGCUACCGUGUGCCUUGGGUGGGCCCUGGCCUCACCUACAGAAUGUUGGCUUUGUCCUGUCCUCAAAAGUGAGUAAGCCACCAUGUCCUGAACCGACUGAAGGGAGACCCACGGGGUAACAGCUGGCACUGAAUCGAGAUCAUCAAUCCUAUUGCCCUUGAGAAACUGAAUCGUACCAACAAUCACGUGGAAGGUUUAAGGAGACAAGAUGCUGGUAUUGAAAACGAGAAGUCUGAGGGCAGGCAUUUAUUGAUGGAGUAAUCCGAACACUAGGAGGUGAGAAAGAAGGGAAAUGCAAGAGAACAUUGAGCCUAAGAGAGGCUGAUGAUAAAAAUGUGGAUUUCAACUAAACCCACCAGGAACAGCUCUGCAAAUGACCUCACCCCACCCCACCCCACCCUCGCCUGCAAAUAAACAUCUUUGCCUCCAAAAUGAGAAUGC